rnacentral:rRNA from 1 species
AUUGAACGCUGGCGGCAUGCCUUACACAUGCAAGUCGAACGGUAACAGGUUAAGCUGACGAGUUGCGAACGGGUGAGUAAUGUAUCGGAACGUGCCCCGUCGUGGGGGAUAACUGCUCGAAAGAGCAGCUAAUACCGCAUACGACCUGAGGGUGAAAGCGGGGGAUCGCAAGACCUCGCGCGAUUGGAGCGGCCGAUAUCAGAUUAGGUAGUUGGUGAGGUAAAGGCUCACCAAGCCGACGAUCUGUAGCUGGUCUGAGAGGACGACCAGCCACACUGGGACUGAGACACGGCCCAGACUCCUACGGGAGGCAGCAGUGGGGAAUUUUGGACAAUGGGCGCAAGCCUGAUCCAGCCAUGCCGCGUGCGGGAAGAAGGCCUUCGGGUUGUAAACCGCUUUUGUCAGGGAAGAAAAGGUUCUGGCUAAUACCUGGGACUCAUGACGGUACCUGAAGAAUAAGCACCGGCUAACUACGUG